rnacentral:tRNA from 1 species
GUGAACAUAGUUUAAUAAAAAUCCUAGCCUGUGAUUCUAGAGAAGAGAGC